AACAGGUGACCCAGCUUUUCCAAAUACCUGGCCUUCACUGACUGGUGUGACAACUGCUGUUUUGUGUGUUUGGUGUUUUA